UCUCCUGUAGCUCAGUGGUAAAGCGUCCGACCGGUAUGCGGAAGGUCAUAGGUUCGACUCCUGUUGGGAGAA
rnacentral:tRNA from 1 species